rnacentral:rRNA from 1 species
AUGACUCCAGGACAGGCGGGACUACCAGUGAGUUUAAGCAUAUCAAUAAGUGGAGGAAAAUAAACUUACAAGGAUUAUUCUAGUAACAGUGAAAGAACCAAGAAGAGGCCAGCUUAUGAAUUGGGCACCCAUGACGUUUGAAUUGUAUUAUGGAGAAGCGCCCUCAGUGGUGAACCGGGCCCAAGUCUCUUGGAAGGGGGUUCUAGAGGGUGAGAGCGCCGUCAUGCAAGACCUUGUCGAACCAUGAUGUGGUGUCUACAAGUUAGGUUCUUUGGGAAUGCAGCCCCAAUUGGGCCGUAAAUUCUAACCAAGGCUAAAUACAUGCUAGAGACUGAUUGGAAACAAGUACUGCGAGGGAUAGAUGAAAAGGACUUUCAAAAGAGAGUCAAAGAGUGCUUGAAAUUGUCGGGAAGGAAGCAGAUGGGGGCCAGCGGCGCGUCCUGGUCGGAUGUGGAACGGUGUUGAGCCGGUCCGCCAAUGGACUCGGGACGUGGACUGACCCAUGUCAUGAUGGUGGCUCAAGCCUAGGCCUUUCUUAUGCUCCUUGAGAUUUCAUCAUCGCAGUCGUGGCUUGCAGUGCACACCUCAUGGCGAGCUUCAAGAUCUGCACACUCAAGGCGUUGUCUUGUGGUCCCCAUUCAUCCAGUCUUGAAACACCGACCAAGAAGUCUAAAAUGUGUGUGAGUCAAUGAGUGAGUAAACCUGUAAGGCAUAAGGAAGCUAACUGGAGGGGUCCCCUUGUGGGUUGCACCACCAACCGACCUUGAUCUUCAGAAAAGGGUUCGUGUGGGAGCAUUCCUGUUAGGACCCAGAAGAUGGUGAACUAUGCCUGAGCGGGGAGAAGCUAGAUGAAACAUUGGCGGAGGCCCACAUUGAUACUGACGUGUAAAUCAUUCGUCUAACUUGGGUAUAGGGGGAGAAGACUAAUCGAACCGUCUAGUUGUUGGUUCCCCCCAAAGUUUCCCUCAGGAUAGCUGGAGCCGACAUGCGAGUUCUAUCGGGUAAAGCCAAUGAGUAGAGGCAUCGGGGGCGCAACGCCCUCGACCUAUUCUCAAACUUUAAAUAGUUAGGAUGGUGCGGCUACAUUUGAGCGUGCCAUGGAAUCGAGAGCUCAAAGUGGGCCAUUUUUGGUAGGUAGAACUGGCGAUGCGAGAUGAACUAGAAGCCGGGUUAUGGUGCCCAACUACGUGCUAACCUAGAAUCCACAAAGGGUGUUGGUUGAUUAAGAUAGUAGGACGGUGGUCAUGGAAGUCAAAAUCGGCUAAGGAAUGUGUAACAACUCUCCUUCCAAAUCAAAUAGCCUGAAAAAUGGAUGGUGCUAAAGCGCACGACCUAUACCUGGCGGUCGGGGCAAGUGCCAUGCCCCGAUGAGUAGGAGGGCGUGGCAGUUGAUGAAAAACCUAGGACGUGAGUCCGGGCGGAGCGAGUCAGUGCAGAUCUUAGUGGUAGUAGCAAAUAUUCAAACGAGAACUUUGAAUGCCAAAGAAGGGAAAGGUUCUAUGUAAACGACACUUACACAUGGGUUAGUCAAUCCUAUGAAACGGGGGAAGCUCGGUCAAUCCUAUGAAACGGGGGAAGCUCGUCUGAUAGCAUGACCGCAUGAACUUCAAAAUAGAAUAAGGUUAAAAUUCCUGAACCGGGAUGUGGUGACUGAAGACAACGUUAGGGAGUCUGAAGACAUCGGCUGGGACCUCGAGAAUAGUUAUAUUUUCUGUUUAACAACCUGCCCACCUUGAAAACGGUACAACCGAAGGUAGCGUCCAGCGGUUGGAAGAGUGCCAUCCAUGCCCAGUUGUACUCAUAUAUUGAAAAGCCUCUGGUCGAUGGAACAAUGUAGGCAAGGGAAGUUGGGAAAGUAGAUCAGUAACAUCAAGAAAAAUAUUGGAUCUGAGGGCUAGGCACGAGGGGGGGUCCUAGUCCCGAACUCACAUGUUGUGAGUGGAUUGCUCGAACUGCUCCCACGGUGAGAGCGAUUCAUCACGUGCGGACUGAGGGACGGACUGGGAAUAGUCCCAUCGGCACCCCGGGUGUCAAACAAUCAACUCAGAACUGGUGCAGACAAGGUGAAUCUAACUGCUUAAUUUAAACAAAGCAUAGUGAUGGUCCCUGUGGAUAUCACUACUUUUAACGUUAUUUUACUUUUUCAAUGAAUCAGAAGCGGGGUAGUGCCCCCAUUUUUUGUCCUGAGGCUUGCUUUUGUGGCCAUUCUGGGUGGAAGACAUUGUCAGGUGGGGAGUUUAGCGGGGGUGGAACAUCUAUUAAAAUAUAAUACGUGUGUACUAAGAUGAGCUCAAUGAGAACAUAAAUCUCAUGUCAAAAAAGGGUAAACGAUCAUUUGAUUGUGAUUUCCAGUACUAAUUUGAACCAUGAAAGUGUGGCCUAUCGAUCCUUUAGAUAUUUGAAAUUUGAAGCUAAAGGUGUCAGAAAACUAGCUUGUAGCAACCAAGCGUUCAUAGUGACAUUGCUUUUUGAUACUUCAAUGUUGGCUCUUCCUAUCAUUGUGAAGCAAAAUCACCAAGGGUUGGAUUUUUCACCCACCAAUGGAGAAUGUGAGCUAGGUUUAGACCGUCGUGAGACAGGUUAGUUUUACCAUACUGAUGACAGUGUCACAAUAGUAAUUCAACCUAGUACGAGAGGAACAGUUGAUUCACACAAUUGGUCAUCGCGUUUAGUUGAAAAGCAAGUGGCGCGAAGCCACCAUGCAAUGGAUUAUGACUGAACACCUCUAAGUUAGAAUCCGUGCUAGAAGCGACGCAUGCGCCCAUCGCCUGAUUGCUGACCAGUAGUAGGAAUCUUCAGGCCCCCAAAGGUACGUGUAGUUGGUCAAGCCUUCUCGACGGAUGAGUCGAGUUGGCUGCCUUGAAGCGUAAUUUUCACCGAGCGGCUCGUAGAAUCCUUUGCAAACGAC